rnacentral:lncRNA from 1 species
CCUUUUUCUGGCCUUCUUAUUCACUGCCCCCCACCUCAUCCUUUCCAAAUCCAACACAACCUGACAAUCCAAUUCUCACUCGCCUCUCCCUCUCGCUCUCUCUCUAUAGCCCUCUCUUUCAGUAGUCUCUAGCUCUUAGUGCCCGUAAUAUUGUAUGCAUCAAGGUUCGACGAAUGAGAUUAAUGAUCAAGUGUUACUGAAGAGAUCAAGGGU